UGACUGAGUGGCGGACGGGUGAGUAACGCGUGGGUAACCUGCCUCACACAGGGGGAUAACAGUUGGAAACGGCUGCUAAUACCGCAUAAGCGCACAGUACCGCAUGGUACGGUGUGAAAAACUCCGGUGGUGUGAGAUGGACCCGCGUCUGAUUAGCUAGUUGGCAGGGCAGCGGCCUACCAAGGCGACGAUCAGUAGCCGACCUGAGAGGGUGACCGGCCACAUUGGGACUGAGACAUGGCCCAAACUCCUACGGGAGGCAGCAGUGGGGAAUAUUGCACAAUGGGGGAAACCCUGAUGCAGCGACGCCGCGUGAGCGAAGAAGUAUUUCGGUAUGUAAAGCUCUAUCAGCAGGGAAGAAGAAAUGACGGUACCUGACUAAGAAGCACCGGCUAAAUACGUGCCAGCAGCCGCGGUAAUACGUAUGGUGCAAGCGUUAUCCGGAUUUACUGGGUGUAAAGGGAGCGUAGACGGUCAAGCAAGUCAGAAGUGAAAGGCUGGGGCUCAACCCCGGGACUGCUUUUGAAACUGUUUGACUAGAGUGCUGGAGAGGUAAGCGGAAUUCCUAGUGUAGCGGUGAAAUGCGUAGAUAUUAGGAGGAACACCAGUGGCGAAGGCGGCUUACUGGACAGUAACUGACGUUGAGGCUCGAAAGCGUGGGGAGCA
rnacentral:rRNA from 1 species